rnacentral:rRNA from 1 species
UGCCAGCAGCCGCGGUAAGACGUAGGAUGCAAGCGUUGUCCGGAUUUAUUGGGCGUAAAGAGCUCGUAGGUGGUAAGCCAUGUCAGAUGUUAAAUAAUGAAGCUCAACUUCAUCUCGGCAUUUGAAACUGGUUUACUAGAGUUAAGUAGGGGUUAGAGGAAUUCCUGGUGUAGCGGUGAAAUGCGUAGAUAUCAGGAGGAACACCGGUGGCGAAAGCGUCUAACUGGACUUAUACUGACACUGAGGAACGAAAGCUAGGGGAGCAAAUGGGAUUAGAUA